rnacentral:rRNA from 1 species
UACAGAGGUCUCAAGCGUUGUUCGGAUUCAUUGGGCGUAAAGGGUGCGUAGGCGGCGCGGUAAGUCGGGUGUGAAAUCUUGGAGCUUAACUCCGAAACUGCAUUCGAUACUGCCGUGCUUGAGGACUGGAGAGGAGACUGGAAUUUACGGUGUAGCGGUGAAAUACGUAGAUAUCGUAAGGAAGACCAGUGGGGAAGGCGGGUCUCUGGACAGUUCCUGACGCUGAGGCACGAAGGUCAGGGGAGCAAACGGG